GGCAUGGUGGCUCAGUGGUUAGAGCGCCUGCCUCAUGAACGGGAGGUCGCGGGUUCGAGCCCCGGUCGAGUCA
rfam:Strongylocentrotus purpuratus Contig53761_fixed, whole genome shotgun sequence.